CAAUCAGAGAGCUACCAUUCCACUAGACCUACUAGAAGCAGUUCAUUGACUCGCUCCUCUAUCUCAUCUUCACAAUCUAGUACCUAUUUGUCAAAUAGAUCGUCUUCAAUCCUAAAUACAAGCUCAGCUUCAGUUUCAUCUUACACAAGACCAUCCUCCCCAAUUGCCCGCUCUCCAUCUACAGCAAGACCUUCCACGCCAUCUGCUCGCCCAACAACAUCACGUCCCUCAACUCCAUCAAGAGUUCGUCCAGCCCCCGCCAGCUCUUUAAUUGACAAGACUCGGCAAUCCCAAAACUCAAGGUCCUCUACUCCAAGUUCUAGGGCACAAAUUCCUGCAAACUUGAAUUCAACCACUACACGAUCAAAUUCUCGUUCAUCUACUCCCACACGUCGGAAUCCAUUACCUUCUGUGUCACCUGCCUCAGGUCCUUCAACUUCAGUUGGGCGUGUUCUUUCAAAUGGGCGCACAUCUGCAACAUCAUCACGACCAAGUUCCCCAGGCCCCCGAAUCCGGCCUCCACAACAGCCAGUUGUUCCUCCUGAUUUUCCCCUUGACACACCUCCAAACCUCAGAACAACUUUGCCAGACAGACCACUUUCUGCUGGUAGGUCCCGGCCAGGUGUAGCAGUCACUAUGAAGGGGAA
rnacentral:misc_RNA from 1 species